GACGAACGCUGGCGGCGUGCUUAACACAUGCAAGUCGAGCGGUAAGGCCCUUUCGGGGGUACACGAGCGGCGAACGGGUGAGUAACACGUGGGUGACCUGCCCUCAGCUCUGGGAUAAGCCUGGGAAACUGGGUCUAAUACCGGAUAUGACUUCGCAUCGCAUGGUGUGGGGUGGAAAGUUUUUCGGCUGGGGAUGGGCCCGCGGCCUAUCAGCUUGUUGGUGGGGUGAUGGCCUACCAAGGCGACGACGGGUAGCCGGCCUGAGAGGGCGACCGGCCACACUGGGACUGAGACACGGCCCAGACUCCUACGGGAGGGCAGCAGUGGGGAAGUAUUGCGCAAUGGGCGGAAGCCUGACGCAGCGACGCCGCGUGGGGAUGACGGCCUCGGUUGU
rnacentral:rRNA from 1 species